rnacentral:lncRNA from 1 species
UGAAAGAAGGUGCUUGUUGUUGAAAGUUGCAUGUUUGAACUUCUCUUUGAUGUGAUUGAUGGUUUUUAGAUUGCAUUAAUUGACUUAUCCCUGGUAAUUGCAUGAUAUAAAUAUUUCAAUAUUGCGCAAGCCUGGCAUGUGAACAAGCUGAAACUAUCAGAAAAGUCAUCAUGGAUGCGUAAAGGUCUUAUAUAGAAUAUUUGUGAAAAUGAGGAAGUUUAUAGCAUUAACUUCCCCUACUUUACUAGCGUCAAGUGGAAUCCUACUUAUAGAAAUAUAAGAAUGUGGGGCCCCUCUUCAUCGAAGGACUGAUCUUGUGCGUGAGGUAAUUGCAAGCGUUUUGAUCGUGUUUAGAAUAUGGAAUAAGUGAAUAGGUACCAAGGAUAGAAAUAACUAUUUUCAGGUUUUAUGUGAUAGGAACACAGUUAUGUGCUUAUGAUCCAGUUAAAUCAUAUCCUUUUCUUGCCUUUAUCAUUUUAGUAAACUUCUAACUAGUGACAGAAGGAAAGGAAGAAUUGUUUCCCUAUCUAAUUUGAUUGAGGAAUUGAUGCUUUGGGUACAUUGAGCAAAGUGUUUGUAGGAUUUUCAGUUUUUCUUAAUAGAUUAUUACAUUUGGCAGUUGUUGAUAAACUAAACUAGUAAUGAUCUAUACUGGAUAAAAAAUCGUUAUUGUCUUGUGGCUUGUAAUCAUGCAUGCUUCAGUGAGCUCAUAUCACAAAGUUUCACCGCCAAGACAAUGAUCAGACUAACUUCUUUAGUUGGUAUUUUUGUAUUUGUUUUCCUGUACAGUCAAUCUUGCAGCAAAUGGUGCUUGAGAUUUCUGACUUUCUCAGGAGAACUGGGGAUUAAGUUGUACAGUCUGGUAUCCACUGGUCCUGCAUGAUCAUAUAAUGAUGUAAAAUUGUAUGUCCCUUCUAGGCAGCCUUUUUUGUAACUAUUUGGUAAUCAAGUGGAGUAUUUAGAAAACGGUCAACAUAAAAAACAAUAAGCCAUCCUGUCCAUGGUAAGUGAUAGCUUCAUGUAUGCAACACUGAUUCUUUCCAUGCAACAUUUUCUAAGCAGCUAAGUUCCUGAGCCUUGCCAACCUAUUAUGGUUGCCAAAUGUGGCAACUUCUGUUCUGAAGGAAAUUGAAACUUCUAAGACUGAUGCAUAGCUGAGCAUCUGUCACAUUUCUGUUUCUGCUUCUCCUGCUCCUUCUGUAUAUUGUAUUGAUUUUAUCUUAUCUUUGUGCAUUUUGAGAUGUUAGGCAUUGUGGAGGUAGUAAAUAGAGGAGUGUCGAACAACACGCAACUGAUUUAAAGGUGGAGUUAAAGUGGAAAUUGAUCAAAUUCUUGGUCAAUUAUGAUUGCUGAGAUGUAGAUAAGGCUCUUGAAAGUAGGAACAUCUGCUGUCAAUUUCCUGAUGAAGCAUUCUUCAGUACAGCUAUUUGAUUCCGCAUUCUUUUUAAGUGACUUGGGUUUGUUUGUAUUUCCAGAGCUAUAAAUGACAAUUCCAGCAUAUACUAGACGAGAGUACUCCUGGUCAAAGGUUUUAGAAAAGCUAAUAAACAUAGAAUCCUUCUUUCUAGGCAUAAAAAAUUGAUGAGGUGCAUUAAAAGAUAAUUGGUAUUUAAAUUCUUAGCUUUGCUAGGUUUCAACGCAUGAAGUAAGCUGCCUCUUAAAGGCGGUGAUGUGUUUGAACAGGAUAACUUCUGAACCUGGAUUGUCUUGAGUUCUAGUGCACCUUGGUUUCUUUGGCUGGAUUUAUAAUAAUUUGAAGCAAAAUAUAUUGUCUGCACAGAUGUGUUAGCAGGAAAGGUUCAUUUGCAUUUGCAUUUUUCAAUUUGACUGAUUGUUGGUAAUGAUAUUUGUAGAAUGUACUCUAUGCCUAACCACUGCUUAGUGCUUUUGCUCUUCUGUUUGUAAUCGUUGAGACUUUUUAUACUGAUAACUAUGGUGCUUUAAAUAAAGAGUUGGAUGAUAGUGGACAUGCUUUGAGUUGUUGUUUUUUUAAUGUUCUUGGCUGAAAUCUAAUGAAUUUUCAUUGUCUGUUGUGAAGGGGGAUGAGGCCUCAUUGCAGAGGGCACUGAACAUGAUUCAUGGUAAUAAACAUGAUUAUGUUAUUCUGCUCUUCUAUGCAUCUUGGUGUCCUUUCUCUGGAACUUUUAGACCAACCUUUUCCAUCCUAGCUUCCUUGUUUCCCUCGCUUCCUCAUUUUGCAAUUGAAGAAUCAGCUGUCAAGCCGAGGUUUGAGCACUUUUGAGUUUUGUCUUCUGAAUCCAUGCUUUUUUAUGUUGGAAAUUGAGGGUUCAUAAUAUGGUUGAAUUUUUUGCAGCACUCUAUCGAAGUAUGGAGUACAUGGGUUCCCAACGAUUUUCCUUUUGAAUUCUACUCUGCGUGUUCGGUAUCAUGGUUCUCGAACACGUGAUUCUCUCAUCACUUUUUAUGAAGAUGUGACUGGUAAGGCUUUAAAUAUUGUGCUAUUUGAUUAGAUGAAAUACUUUGGCGGGGUACUUUCUUGAAUUGUACAUUUUUACUGAAUGUUUUAAAAGGUGGAGGUGGUGUGGGAGAUGUUUUAUCUCUAAGGUGGCUUAAAUUCCUGGAUGUGAGGAGCAGCGAUGGAUGCUUAGUAAUUGAAAGAUACUGGAACUUGUACAUAUCUCAAAAACUAUUAGCUAAUUUGACAACAUAGUUAACAAGUGGAAAAGGAAAUUUUGUAAAGGCAAUAUUUAUGAGACUUCAGACAUGGGAAAUAGUUGCAUUCUAUAUUAUGGAAUUGUGUUCUAAUUUAAACCUACGAUAAAAGUGCCCUAAAAUUCCUUCUUUGAGAAAGAGAGUCAAUCUGUAUGUAUGUUACUAUUCCCACAUCCAACUUCAAGUGGCUUAGUAGUUACUAAAAGUAAAUGGUUUGACUGCUAAUGUUGAAACUAGUGGAUUUGCAUGAAGAGAUUUGGUCUCUCCACUUACUUUCUAACUGCCCUAGUGCUGUUAGCGCCACUGCCUUCUUCCACCAUUUCCGGUGAUUGUGGUUGUUUUUUUUCCUUCAAUUGGGAGCUUCAAAACUUGCCAAUACCUGGACUGAUCAUUACGUGUUUGUGUCUUUCAAAGCUUUAAACCUGUUGGUGUGAAGGUUAGUGGUGUUGCUCUUGAGAAUAUCUGGUAUAUCCACUUGAGGAUGUCUAAGCAAAUUUUUGCUUUCCACACAGGCCGCCCCUAUUCUACCCUUUCCCCAUCUCAAGAAGAGUUGAAGUAAAAUGAAACUGAAAAGGAAAAGCUAUAAAAAGUACAAGAUGGGGCUAACAGUAUAGAGCACUUGCUCUAGGUCUAGGUAGACCUGUAUUGGGCAGAGGGGCGGCUUGAGCCCUAAGUCUCAUGGUUAUAGUAGAUGGUGAAUGGGUGAGUUUAUGACUUCCUUGAAUGAUUUUAGGAAUAAAUUAGCUUAACAUGUAGCUACUUUUCUGGUACAGGCAUCAAGACAGCAUCAUUGAGCGGAUUAUCUCUGGAGAAGAUUGAAUGCUCAUCAGAUCAUCAAAAACACAACAGCAGUGAUCCGGAAAGUUGCCCAUUCCCAUGGGCAAGAUCUCCGGAGAAUUUGCUUCGGCAGGAGACUUAUUUGGCCUUGGCCACUGCAUUUGUGCUUAUGAGGCUGCUCUAUGUCUUUUUCCCAGCCCUGCAUAGAUCCGGCCAGUUAGCCUGGAGAAGGUAUAUUUCAAACACGAGGUUAAGGAAUCUGUGGGAGCAUCCGCUGGUGUGCCUCAACCGAGCAAAACAGUUGUUAAAUUCCUUAAAGGAGCCAUGCAAGAAAAGCAAUUUGCAGGAAGGAGCUAUGAAUGCCAAGGCCUGGGCUUCCAAGUCUUUGGCUUCUGUUUCAUUUGGAGAUAGUAGCACUAGCAGGGUUGUACCAGUGAGUUGAAUUGACGGAAUAUUAGUUUGAUAGCAGGUGUUAAAGAGUAUAUAAGGACGGGUUUGCUGGAGUUCGCAAGAGUACUUCUCUUUUAGAAUCAUUUUAGCUGACUUUGUUGAGUUUCCGCCAUGGGGCUUUGUAUUGUCUAAUAGGAAGGAAAGAAAAGGUUUCAUAUUUGACCAAGGAAGCGACCUGCUUCAUUUCAGUGUAUUGUAGAUUAGAAUUUCUUUUCACCAACUAAGGACAUAAUAAGACAAGCGUUAAAUGUAUGUAUAGCUUCAAAUGAUCAGCCUCUUCUUUUGAACUUAACAAACCUCUCUUCUUCAUCAAAGUAGUAGUUCCCCAUUCUUCACAUCCUCUGUCGUCGUUCUGAACUUCUGUUUUGUCUGAGGUAGUUCCAUUUUUUCUUAUAGCCUGUUUUUCUUUGUCGCUGAAAAGAUGAGAAGGGUUAUCAGCCUUCGGAAGAAGUCGAUGAUGCAACUCUGAAUGAUUCCCAUAAGCAGACUAAUCUUAGUAAUAACUAAAAAGUGUGGUAUAAUUGAAAGUCUUAUCUGCCACCGCCACCAUUUGCGAGUUGCAAGUGGGAUGCAUGCAUGGUUGGGGGAGACAAGAGGCAGAGGGAAGAUCAUUGUUGGGACCGAACACUAAAAGCAGCUUAUUGAUAUAUUAUGGAGACUGGACCAACACUGCUGCUGCUGCUAAGGGUGGACCUAUCUUCUUGUUCAAGCGAUCCUUUACGGGAAUCUUGGGUGGGGCGGCAUGGUGGCGCUGCUGCUUCUUGAUAGCAAUGUCCUGGCCUGGGAGUGGCGGAUUUGCUUGCUUUCUUUAAGAAAAUGAAAUAAUCAUCGAAACGAUGUAAGAAAGUACACUGCUGCUGAAGUUGUUUCAUACAGAUGGGCAUUGGGUAGUCAGAGAUUAACAAGGUGCGUUCAAGGAAAAAUUCUAUGGUCCAUUGAGAACCAUUCUCUCAAUUUCCAUCCCUUAGUGUUGGUGGUAAGUCAAAUUUUAAAUAAUUAAAAGUGUUACAAUCUAAGGUCCAAACACUUAUUUCAUCAUCAAAUCAGACUGUAUAAUCUAUUUUUGUUGCCUAAUUCUUUUACUCAGGUUUUGUCUCAACUAAAACACUGCACUAAAUCGAUCCAAUUUGGCUGAUAUUUCCUCGUAUGGUCCACCUUUUUGUUGGAAUAGACAAGAGAUAAUUGGAGCAAAUAUAGGACAUAAACACUUUUUUUUUUUUUUUUUUUUUUACAUACAUCACAUUGUAAGAGAUGUUACAUUAAUUAUUUUAAAUAAUCUCCUACCCAAACACACUCCGUGUUUCCAUUCUUCUCUUUUUUGCUUUUUCCUUUUUGCCCCUUACGUUUUUGUUGGAAAUGAUUUUUUUUUUUUAAGUGUAAGUGAGAGUUAUCGAACUUGGAACCUAUCACUUACAUUCUCUCCUCCGUACCACCUAAUCCAUUUCUCUACCUUGUUGACAUUGACUUUGAAUUUUGUAAUUAUAGUAAAUCUUUUCUUUAACUUUUUUUUUCAAAAAAAUUAAAAAUUGAAGGUAGCUUUCUUUGCCGUUUAUUAAGCUUAGCGUGCAUGAUACAUCAUACAUACAAAUAAGCUAAGGUAAUGUGAUUAUUCAUUGAUGUGUGUUGUUAGUGAGCACACAAAAUUUACUAGAGAAAAUAAAUAUAUGCAUGAUUGAUCAACAUACAGUUUUGGUAUAGAUCGUCAAUGCUCACACAAAAUUAUUUAACUUUAGCUACUUUAUCUUCAAAACUAUCUGUUCAACGCAACUGAGUUUGUUAACUCAAAUAAAAAAAACAUCUUCAGUUUUUAAAAUUAUUUAUCACUUUUAACUCUCAUAAACUAUAAAAAAUAAUAAUGUUCCGUUUAUUUUUUUUAAAGUUAUUAUUUAUGCACUUUAUAGUAAAAUCAACUUAGCAUGUUGAAAGAUUUUAGAUGAAAGUACCUGCCUCUCUUGUAUAAUUAAUAUAUCAAAAAUUUAGAUUCCUUUUUUUGAACAAAAAAAAAAGUCAAAAUGUCUGUUCUUUCUUCCCCUUUUUCCAUUAAUACGGCAAAAAACAGAGAGAGAUCAAAAUGAAUUUGUGCACCAUCUUAUGGCGUGGCUAAAGAUUUCUCAACCCUGGAAAAUUGCUACAGCCACAAUCGGAAUGAGCCUUGAUCUUUGUUUAGGUUUAUAGGAAAGGAUCCAAAAGAAAAAACCUCUUCUCCAAACUCCAAAGUAAGAGCUGGAGAAGGAACAAGAACAGCCGCCGCUGCUACGUGACCUCGAUGACUAAAAUGGAAGGCUCGACACGACAGUGAAGGGUUCAAAUGGACAUAUCAGCAAAAUAAUUUAAGGGAAGCUUUUACUAGUUUUGUUUGGAUUGUAAGUUAUUUGGGAUAUUUUUACUGUAGUAUUUUUUGUGACGUGAUAUAUGUGAGAUAAAAAGGUAAUUGGGAAGAUAAAAAGGUGUAUUGAAAAUUGUAAUGAUGAUGUAAGCAAAUAAAAUUGGAGAAAUAAUGCUCUAUUCCAUUAGUAUUCUGUGUUCCCCACCAAUCAAUCAUGAAAUCCCAAAUUCAACCUCAUCUCGGGCUCCUUGUGUACACCCGUUAUCCAUAUACACGUGAAUUCAUCGUCCCAUGUUUUUGGGGUAUUUUUUAAAAAUUAAUUUUUUAAAUAUAAUAAAAUUUUUAAAAAACAUUUUAAAAGAUAAUUUAAAAAUUAAUUUAAAUUUUUUUAAAAUUUUGAAGAAUAUCUCAAAAUAUAUUCUGAAAUCUUUUUUACUUUUAAAAAUUUUAAAAUACUUUUUAAAAAUAUUUUAAAAUAUAUUCUAAAAACUCUGCUACAAUAAAAUUUAUUUUUAUAUAUGUUUUUUAUUUCAUAUUCGAACAUUUUCUUUACUUAUUUAUUUGUGACUAAAUUGUAAAAAAAAAAAAAAACAUAUAGAGCAAGCGGAAAAAAUGAACCUGAUCUAACAAAGGAUAUGACAGCGGUCUGUAAUUGUAGUCAAUUCCGGUCCCCAUGUGACCGACAUGUGACAGCCCCUCCACUCCAACCAGCAGUAAAACAUCAUCGUCCUCCGCAAACUAAAUCCAACGGCCAGUUUUCUCCUUAGAUUCCAACACCUGUGGUCCAGAUUCCACCAUAGAAGCUUCGGAGGUUCACACACCGCAAUACAAAGAGUUUUAACCGUCCAUCGUACCCACUAAUCCCCCACCAACACCUGCAACAACAACAAAAGAUAGCUAUCAUUUCCAAUGGGCCCACCUGCCCCGCGCCUCAAAAACUGUAAACAAAUCUUUUGUUUUUUUGCCCCUUUUCUUCUGUCUUUGAUUUUUUGGGUCCUAAAAGGGAAGGGGAUAUAAUCAAUAAUCAUUGUUGUUGUUUGUCAUAACUCAUCAGGAGGAAGAUUGCCGAGAGGAGGGACUGAAGGGAGAGUGAUGGAGAAGGAAAGGGAGAAGCAAGUUUACUUGGCUAGGCUUGCUGAGCAAGCAGAAAGAUAUGAUGGUAUUAAUUCUUUCUUUGAAAUUUUUUUUUGCCUACUACCUUUUUUUUCAAUUUCUUUUUGUGUAAAUCUUUUCUUUUGGGAAGUAGAGAUUGAAGAUAGAAGGUGGGUUUUGGUUAGAUUGUGGUGUUGUAUGGCAAAAUCCCGAGCUUUAUGGAUUUUGGUGCUGAAAUUUUAGUACUGUUUGGAUGAAGGAAUUCAUCAGAAUUUAUAGAUGAUAUGGACUUUUAGUUCAGCUUUUUGUUACCAACAUGCAUUUUUUUUGGGAGGGGGGGGGGGGUCGGGGUGUUGGGAGUGGGGAUUGGAAUGCUGAAUUUGUACUUUUAAUUGGAAAAAAAUUGAAUGUUUUACAUAUAUGAAUUUGGAGGACUAAAGGAAGUGCUAAACUUGUUGAACAAAAAAAGAAAAACUUUGUUGGCAAAACACAUUUUUUACGUUGAUUUCCAGUAUAUUUUUCCAUGCUGUGGCUAGCGAAAAUAAUCUUGAAGAGAAGUUUGUAAUAAAAUGCUGUGAAUUCUUGUACAAACUCUUAUGAUGUGUUGAUUUUUUUGGUAGCUUGUGAAGCGACAAGAUAUCCAAGUUAGAAAGAUGAGGAUUUGAUUAUUGAUUGAGUGCUUAAACGGACUUAAUUUUGUUGUUGCUUAUUAGAGUUUUUUUGUUGAUCACACAAUGCUUUGGCAUUUAUCUGUUUGUACUCAAUUUUAGUUGGAAAGUUCUAAUAUUGAAUUUUGAAAGAGCAAGAUGUGUUUCCAUUGAGGUGGUUGUGUAGCCAGGACUACAAGUAAGACUAAACUCCACAUUUGAAAUUGGCUUACAUUUACAUGGCGAUCCUUUUGUGGUUACUACUACAAGAUAUAAUCAAGAGAAGUAUGUAAAUGGACAUGUUUCUUUGACUUAUUUGAAUUUAUUAUAGUCGAUAUUAGACUUUGCAGUAGAAAGUUUCAUGGUUGCUUGCGGGAUUCUUUACAUACCUGUGGUUCCCAAUUGGUCUUCAUCUAGUUGGCCCUCAAUAGGGUUCUAGCUCAAAGGGGCUGGAUGUUAUCUAAUUGCUUGAAUCUGACUCCCACAACCCAAAGGCUAUUGGUCCUGUUUUUUUUUUGUUACUCUGAUGGCUUGCAAAUUAAAAGGGCAGUUCUAGUCCAUAGCAAGCACAUCUUGACAAUAUGGUUACCAGUCUCUCUUUAUAACUGCUGCUUAAAGCAUUUUUCUUUUAUUUGGACCCAAAUUGGGGCAGAAUAGGAGCUUCAUGACGUCAUAAAGUUCUCCAUGGCAAAUGAAUUCUGAACUUGAACAAGUUUUGGUUUUGCCAGGUUCUUGCUAGGUUUGUGAGAUCAUGGUAAACUUGACAAUUGUUGUUGGUCUGCGUGAGGGAAAUGAUGUUGAUAUUGAACCUACUACAUCCAAUUCGCCAUUUGAUCCUUGGAGAAAAUAUAACUUAGGUUUCCUCAUCAUCUUUGAUAUGGCCUAACUAAUGAAGAAUAGAACUAACUAAAUCAUACUUGAAACUCAAAGGUUUUGAAGUUAAGAAAUUCAUUACUUGGUUUCUACUUCACUUGGGCAAUCCUAUUGAUCUUUGUUCAUGUUCCAAACAAAAAAAGGUAAAGUAAGAGAGCAGGUAAUAAAGAGAACAAAUACGCAGCAGGUCUGUGCUAAAACAUGAAGACAGUCUCUAAAUUUUCCUUCUCCUUGUACUGUUAUGCUUUGCUUCUUGUUUUUCAGUUUUUGACUGCCUUGUCAAGGCAUGUUCCAGGAUAAGCCUAGCAGUAAAAUUGCUGGACAAUUGUAUCUUUUCAGCUGUAUGAGUGGCUUGUAUCUUAAUAUGCCUUUUAUAUUGUUCUUUAUCAUAUUUCUCUAUGAGCCACACCAUUACCCUGUCAAGUGACAAGAAUUUCAAUUCUCACAGUUCUUAUAUGGUUUCUUUCCCCCUUUUGUUUAGAAUUUGUUCUCAUUAUUCUCUUAUUGUUCCAGAGAUGGUUGAAGCAAUGAAGAAAGUUGCUAAACUGGAUGUCGAGCUGACAGUUGAGGAAAGGAACUUGGUAUCGGUGGGGUAUAAGAAUGUUAUUGGUGCAAGACGGGCAUCCUGGAGGAUAUUAUCUUCCAUUGAACAGAAAGAGGAGGGCAAGGGACAUGACCAGAAUGUGAAAAGGAUAAAGGGUUACAGACAGGGGGUAGAAGAUGAGCUUAUGAAGAUAUGCAAUGAUAUAUUGGCAGUAAUAGAUGAACAUCUUCUUCCAUCUUCCUCUACAGGAGAAUCAACUGUCUUCUACUAUAAGAUGUGAGUUGUUACUUUUUCUGAAGUCUCAUUCCUUUCAAUCUCCUCUUGCCUUCACAUAAUUCCCCCUCCAACAAUGCAGAAGAACACACAUCUUAUAUACCGAACCUUUAUAUCUUUUUGUUUGGGCUUGCCCUGGUGGUGGGAUUUAGUGGGCUGGACAGAAAAAUACUAAAAUUCAGCCUUCUUUUGUAUGCAUUUGCGGUAUGUUUUGGAGGGGUUCAAGUGUGUUAAUCUGGUUUCAUUAUUCUCAAAGGUUCAAUCUCAUUGUCAGGAGCAAUUAAUUACAGUAUGCUGUCUAAGGUCAUUGUGAUUUCUUUAAUUUGACUAUGUCCUUUACAAAUUUCAACCUUGUGCUAGAUUUCUUACUUAAUUUUGUUGUUUAGGAUAGAAGUUGUUUACUCUAGGAGUAGUGGUUCCCUCACUUUUCCAAAAGUCAUCUUAGUUUGAGAGGUGUCUGUUAUCAUCUAGGUGAUGCUUUGGUUUUUAGAAUUUGUCAUUAUUUCCCUCCUGUUUACUAUAUCCUCUAAAAAUGCUUUAGGUUUGUGUACAAACUUGUAACCAAGUAUUAUGAUUUUUUUUAUUGGCUAUCUUCUGUUUACCUUCUUAUAUGACUUUCUUCUCCAGGAAGGGAGAUUAUUACCGUUACUUGGCUGAGUUCAAAGCGGGGGAAAAUCGUAAGGAGGCAGCGGAUCAGUCCCUCAAAGCCUAUGAGGUUUUCUGAAAUUAAAUCUCUUUUCUAGAGUAGAAGUUUUACCUUAUGAAAUCUCUUUGUGUUCAUACUUGGCACGAGUCUCCCAUAUUUUCUGUGUCAUAUAUUUUCCAGAUAUAUAUGGUUUUAAACCUUUUCCAUGUAACAGGCUGCCACUGCUUCUGCAAACUCAGAUCUUCCACCUACUCAUCCAAUUAGACUUGGCCUAGCACUGAAUUUCUCUGUAUUUUACUAUGAGAUCUUGAACUCCCCUGAGAGGUUUGACAACUCUCUUAUCUCUACUUGUCUUUGUGUCUGUGCAUGCACACGUGCAUGCUUGUUUAUGCAUGCAUACAUGUGCAUGUUUGUGUGCAUAUGUUUAUCCGGAAAAAGAACAAAGCAUGCUGAAAGCAAUCAUAUUUUACAUGAAUAGAAGUUCUCACUUGAAGGAUUUGGUUCACCAAGUUUAGCUGAAUCUGAGAAUUGAAUGUUCUACUUUUCAUGCACAGCUUCCCUUUUGAAAGUGGUCUUUUCAGAUUGGAUCAAUUAUUUUACGUUAAACUUGAUGUGCAACAUGUCCAAUAGAUAUUUGCUUGGGUCAACCACCAAAAAAGGAAAUUGAACAGAUGUACUGAAGAAAUGAAGUAAAUGUAAUUGGAAUGAGGCUAGAGUUUUUUGGAAAUGGAUGAUAAUUAUUAUUCCUAAAGAAGGUUGCGAUCUUGACCAUCAAAGAGUACCUAAAGAAACUUCUUUAUUACUCAUUAAAUUUCACAACAUUUUAGGUUGUGCAUGAACCGUUGGCCCAGCAACACUUGCAGUUGUUGAUUUAGUUAUCUCAUAUCACUACAUGUAAAGCUUUAGCUGGUAUAUGCAGUAAAUAACUUGCAUCUCUUUUUGGUUUUCCAAAAUUCAUGCUUAAUGCAAUUGAUCAUUGGACAUGCAAAUAAGCAAAUACACAAUUACAGUGCAGAAUGUCGUUGUCUCAUAGCGAUUUGUCAUGAUUCAGUUUUAAGUUUUCAGCUUCACAAGUUAUUUUCGUCUAUAGCUUAGUGUUACUUUUUGGGAGAUGCACUAGCUAAGUCGCCCUCAUUAGUCUGGCAGUUAUAUCUUCUUGGUUGUUUGUAAGAUUGUAAAGCAUGAUCUAUCUUCCACCAGGGCUUGCCACCUUGCAAAACAAGCAUUUGAUGAAGCUAUUGCAGAACUGGAUAGCCUCAAUGAAGAGUCCUAUAAAGACAGCACCCUAAUCAUGCAGCUUCUUAGGGAUAAUCUAACAUUAUGGACCUCAGAUCUUCCAGAAGAGGGAGGUAAGUUGAGGAGGGGAUGGAAUCCUAUUUUCACUUAAUCAAUCUGUUUCCUCUGUGUUUUUGUUUGUUUGUUACUUUGCUUAAAGAAAUGGGAAAAAUACUUACACUGAGAAGGUGUUGGAAGUGGCUUUCUGCUCCAUUUAAUUUAUUAGAACAACAUAGAGGGAAGGAGAACAGUGGCGGAGGAUCUUUUGUUUUAGCUGCACUCCUUUAUACUUGAUGAACCUAUAAUCUUUCCAUCAGCCCAGCUAUUUGAAGUAAUACAUGUAAGUUGGGUUAGAUAUUACCAUAACAACACACUAUGGCUGCUGCUCAUAAUGAUAGGAGUUGGUUUUAAGUUGCUUGAGUAAUGUUGGACUAGGCUUGGAAUAGUAAAAUUGGAAAUUUGCUCAUGGUUCAAUGGCGCACCAGCCCUUACAACUUUUACAAGAAGAAAACUGCAGGUGAAAGGUGGUUGGGAAAAUUAAGAAGUGUGUCUGUGCUCAGAUAUAUAUAGCAAUAAGAUUGUGUGUACUUUUUACCCGAGAGAAAGAGAGAGAGAGAGAGUAUAAACAGUCAAACAUAGUACUGCCCAAUAAUUUGUAAUAAUUGCCAUCUCAAUGAAUUGAAUUCCUGAUGUUGGAGACCUGAAGUAUAUCCUAACUUGUGCUUUUAUUUGGCAGGCGAGCAUUCCAAAGGUGAUGAGCCCCACGGUGAGGUAAGAUGCUCUAGGAAGUGAUUAAUUCGACCCUGAUUUGGAAAGAAUUCAAUGCAAUACGUAAUGUUGUGAUAUGAAUUUCUAAACUGUCACAUCUAAUGGGCACGAUAAUCUGUGGUAUAUGCACAAUUGGCUCGUCGAAGUAGAAUCAUUUCACCAACCGAAGUGUGGUUGAAGCCAAAAUGUCAGCUUUAGCGUAGGCUGUUAUCCUUUUGCAUUUGCCAUGUACUUUAUGCGUUUUCUCUAACCAUCAAUUUCUCUAAUUUUCCAGAGCUAGUUGAUAUAGACGAAUGAUUCUUUGAGGAAGUGAACCUCCUGCCCCCGAGAGCUGCUAUCAUGCGAAAGGUCUUAUGGAUGAAAGAUACCUAGGUUAAUGACGAUUGGCUUGUACGUUGUCCAUUUCCAAACCAUUGUUGUUGCUUCUUGAUGUAGAGAUCAUUGUGGUUGUGAUGUGAUUUUUCUAUUAUCCUCACAGUUUUAGUCCCUAUUUCUCUUGUGCUUCUGAAGCAUAUACUUCUAGGGAAGCAAUGAAUUUCGUGUGAUUUUGCACUCUCUUCCGGUAUAAAACCUGUCUUAGCACUGCCUUUCCUAGGCCAUUUUGGACUGGGUGGUGGCGUUUGGCCUUCCGUAGAAGGCGAAAUGUCUUGGCACUCCCUUCCUUGCUUAGAUUUUAUCUUUAUCUUCAGGUCACAGUAGUUUAUUUUUGUGUGUAAAUAUUUUUGCUUGGAUAAUUUAGGAUGUGUUGUGGUAUCUUUGAAAUGGUAGUAGUUGAUUAGAAGUCACUAACAAAAAUAAAGGAAGAAAUGUCCUGCAUGAAUAUGAUUCAUCUUCCCCGUCUCCCUUCCACUCCACAAGUGGAAUUCGUAAGAUCUGCAGUAGCUUGACUAAAGAGACAACCAUGAAUGGGAUAUUGCUGAAAGAGCUAUCCUAUCAACCAUAGCUGCCAGUUAUUUAUUCUGGGAAACAAAAUGUAGGUAGGAAGUCAAUGGAUUAGAGCAUUUUGCUUGACGUUUCUAGCCUCAAAAAAUAAAUUUGAACGUCAAAUUUGCUUCUUUUACGUUGAAGAGGAAAGAAUACAAUGCACAAACUGCGUUGGUUGUUUCAGCCUAGGAGAAAUUUUUUCAAGUGCUUGCCCAACUGCUUAGAUUUUUCAAAAGCACAUGCAUGCCCUGUUCCUUCCAGGAUUAUCAGCUCAGCAUUCUCUCCCAAGUGUCUGCACAAAUCAUGAUCAUAUAAUUUGUCAUUGCAAAAUUGAGCCAUUCUUUCACUCCUUAAAAACUCAUCAAUAUUCCUAAAUGCACUGCCCAAAAAAAAAAAAAAAAACAAAUGAAUUGCAACAAGCAAGAGGGAAAGGAGAUCAUACCUUUUCAAUCUGCGAGCCAGUUCUACUGGAAAAACCUGAUCUUUAUCUCCCCAUAGGAUCAAAGUUGGCUGCAACAAAAUACCGAGUAGCACUACUGUAUUCACUAACAGCAUGCCAUAACUCUUCUAACUCAUGCAGUCUUUUGAUUUAUGUAUGCUAUCAUGAUAGAUGAACUAGCAAAAUCCCUUUUAAUACAAGUAACUUGAAUUUCGAAUCGCACGUGCAAUUACAACUAUUACGCUGCGCUGUGCUGUGGAGAAAAGAUCAAUCCAAACAGUUAGUAAGUAAUUAUAUGUACCUGAGGGAUCUUUGGAAGGUCUGCAAGUCUCUUAUCUAAGGGGAUAGCGCGGAGCAAAUCCCUCUUCUCCUCCACAAAGUCUAAGCACAUCUCCUGCCCCAUCACAACGCCACCAACAAAUGUUUUUGUUAAAUCAAUAAUGCAUCUUAGAGAAUUCUGAUGCUAAAAGGACAAAUUAUAUAUAGUAUUUCGUCAGUGCUUUCACCACGUGUUUUAUUAUAAUUCUUGUAGGGCUUAAUUUUCCUAGCUGAAAAGAGACAAGAAAGCAGCACCACCCACUCACAUACAACUCACAGCAGAAAGACAAUUGCAUUAUUGAGACAUGACCAUAUGGUCCUGAGGAGACAUCCAGACACAUUAGAAAUAGAAUAGUAGAAGAGAAAUGGGAUCACUUUUUUAUCUCCCCAUAGAAGAGAAGAACAAAAAUUUAGAAAGGCCCUUGUAGUGCUUGAACCAUCCUAUCCUAUCCUAUCCUAUCCUAUAUGUGGAAGUUGGAGCAAUCUCUUACGACUAGAUAGAUAAAACAAUGAAGACAGACAAAUGUAAAUAUAAUAAUAAUAACAACAACAAAUUAGUGGUUGGAUUAUACUACUAUAUAGAUAUUAUUGCCAAACUAAAAAUCUAUCCAAGAGAUAAAUAUAAAUGAUUUUUUCUUUUCCUUUCUUUUUGGUACGGCAAGCAUGACAAAAAUGUAAAAUUACUGACUUGAAGGAAGUCGUUAAUCAAGCAGGAAGGCAGUGGUUUAGGUGGCUUAACAAAAGUAUAACGCAGCAAUUUCCUGAAAGCCUCCGGCGUCUGCGGCAACAGAAUGGAGGCGGCGUCGUCCACGUUAUUCACCGGAAACAUCCCAUCUCUAAUAUCCUUCUCCUCCAAACACACCGGGGAGCAUAUUAUCACCACCUUCUCCACACAAUCUUCAAACUGCAGCGCCAUACUGUACGCCACGAACCCACCGUAACUCAUCCCCACCAGCCUCAUUUUCUCCACCGACUUAGCCUCCAUCACUCGCUUCAGACACUGAGCCUGGAACGCCUCGGACCGGUCCGGCCGGGUCGUGUGUGACUUCCCGAAAAACACCAGGUCCGGCACGUAGACGUUGAAAUGGGGCGUCAGGAUUCUGACGGCCUCGAACCAUUGCCAGACGGCGUCGGCUCCGAAGCCGUGGAUGAGGACUACGUUGGGUUUGGUGGGCUUGGGGGAUUUUGGGACCCAGCAGUGGAUGGUGGUGCCGUCACCGAGGUCGGUGAUGGUUGAUCGGAGACCCGAGCAGCUGAAGGCGGAUCUAAAGCACCCCCCAGCUGAUGCUGUCAAGUUCAAGCACUUGGGCAUCACUAACUUAACUGCUAACCUUUCUUGAAAAUUUUCACACGCACAUGGACAUGUUAGUGUCUGUGUGUGUUCGAGUGUUUUUAAGGGGUAUCAAGCAAAGAUGUUCAUUCGAAGUGGUUAACGACAAGAUAACAGAGGAAGAGAUGUUUGAACUUUGAAGCUGGUUUUAUAGGAUGUUCUUUAACUUUUUGUCUGGCAAUAGAUUUCUGGUGCGCAAGGAAUAAGGAUUGUGUCACUGUGUGGUGAAGUUGGGGACAAAGGUCCAAAGUAAAAGCUGAAGGAAGGCAUAGAGUUUUCAACAAGACUUUUUUUGCAAUUUUUCCACAAGACUGGGGACAGAUGCCCCAUUUAAUUUAAUUGCCAUACAGAACCAACCAAAAUAAUACUACUGUUGAUCUUUAUUGUAUGGGAUAAUUGUAGAAACCUCCUAUGAGGUUUCUGAUAUUAACACUCACCUCCCUUAUGAGGAAAUUAGCGCCUAUUGGAGAAACCUAAUGAACGAAUUUUGCAAAAGAAACCUAUUUCUUGUCAACAAAUUAAGUAACUAAUUAAACUAUUUGUGAGUUCUACUAUGUUGUAAAACAAAAAUAUAACUUUUUGAGAUUGUUUUCACUCCUAGAAAUCUUCAAUAUUGCCUUUCGAUUGCAGCUGCAAUAUUUGUUCUUAAUUGUGAAAGAUGUUGAGGAGUUCCAUGAUCCUCUCCUAUGGCUUGAAGAAGCCAUUCUCUUUGUUGCAACACUUCAUUUCAAGCUGUGAAACUAAAGUCAAUGAGAGUAGCUAUGUUACCUCUACAAACAGUCACACAUAUUGCUAAUAGAGAAUUUUAUGUAUCAAGUUUAUCCUUUAUCAACUGUUGCAAUAACCUUCAAAUCUAGCCGUUUUAAACUAGCUAUUACUUAGUUCAUGAUGCUUAAGCUAUUUUAUGUGAACGAAAAGGGUUUGCACUUAUACCCCUUAAAGUUUAUUAAUUGUUAAUUUUUUUGUGAUAUUUUGCAUUCCUUUACUAAUAUUACUCGGUAUGCAGCACAAAGGGCAAAUCUGGUAUAAAUUUCUCAUUUCAUUUCUUAAAAUAAAAUAUUUUAAUGGCAUUUUUUUUAGCUUGGACUGAAUUAGUAAGUGAGUGCUAAUGUCAAUACUCGGCAUGCAACAGAAUCAGUAAGUUCAAAGGAGGUCAAUACUAUUUCUUAAAUUACAGAUGAGGUAAGUUCUAGUGUCAGAAAUCUCAAAAAAAGUUUUUGCAAUUUUUCCUUAAUGUAUAGAUUGACAGAGUAUACGGAUGUAUGAUGUAUUAUCAUAUAAGUAAAAUUGAAAUUUAAAAUUUAAAAUUUGUACAUGUAUUAUAUAUGUAAAAAUAACACUAUAUACACUGAUAAUAUAUAUAUAUAUAUAUAUAUAUAUCGAGUUAGGUAAAAAAUUACAUCAAUAACACAUAGUACACCUUUGAGGAUGCUCACCUCGGCCACCGUCAAGGCCGAGGUCCUCCUACUUCGUUUGUCAUACAGACCGAGAUGAUGUCCCUUAGACGUGACCCCUGGGUCCGACCAGAUCUCUGGUCUAUGGCAUGGACGACCUCUGCACCUUAGGCCUUCCACCUCGGCUGCACGCUAAUGAUGUUAACCUACCUGACACAAUACAGAACGAGUGCUUUAUCUGAAAAGCACCUGAUGCUCUUAAAUGACUACUGUACGGGCCCUGGUAUGGGACAGAGCCGUAAUGGCCAGGACGUGGUCCCGCUAACAUAUGUCCACCGUCCUGUUUUCCAUUCCUACCCUAUAAAUACCCCCUAUUCACUCCAAACAAGUAAGCACACUAUUGCCUUCUUACUGUUCAUUACUUUUCAUUCCCUCGCUAUAUACUGACUUAAUUAUCGGAGUGAUACCAGAGGAGAAGCUCCGCCAUUCACUUCGAGCAAGCGAAUUCAUCGCACCUCACUUGAGAGAAGACUGAUUCAGGUCGUUUCAGUAACCUACCAGAAAUCACCUCUUCAACCUUCUUGGUUGCUCCAUUCGCAAUCGUAAAAUACUAGAUGGAGACACAAUAUCAGUUGUCUUGUGACCUUGGAAAAAUGGGGGAAAAAAAAAGAGUCUCAUUCCUUACUUUUGCAACCUCAUCCUCAUGCAUGAAAUCUCAAAUUUUAGUGGCUGAACUUCAAAAUUUAGCUCAUAUGGCAUGUAUUUAGAUCCGAAUGUAUGCAUGUAAUUAAUACCUAAAUAAGUCAUUUCGAGGAAUAUUUAUAUCUGUUAAUCUCGAUUGUAGACACGAUAUUGAAACUCGUAUUUUUUUAACUGAUCUUGUCCAUCAAAUGAUCAAUAAUAUCUUUAGUGAUUGUUCAUGUCCCAAGUCCCCCAACUCAAAUCAUGACGUGGAUGAUGCAAAGCAUGAAAGUCCAUGACACAAUAUCUACAAGUUAAAAAUUAAUUACGCAAUGUUGGAACAAAAGGCAAAUGAAAGGGAAAAACGAAAUCUUUAUUCAAGAGUGUUGUACAGAACAUAAAACUGAUAAAGAGCAUUUACUUCUAGUCACGCUAGUAAGUUGAAAUGCAUGUAUUUCUUUUUUCUCGUAGCUUGCAUUUUAAAAAUCUAGACUUUUCUGUAAAUUUCGUCAGUGGUGCGUAGCGCGCUCGUCUAGAUCGAUAGUGAUUCAAUUCUCUUCGAAUUUUCCUUGGACCUUUUUAAAAUCCCCUUCCCUGAUAAAGAGUACGAGUGGUCUAGAGUAGAGUUUAUCGUGUCCGGAGGAAAAAAAAAGAGUAAUUGUCAUGGAAAGGGAAGGAGAACAGUUGCAUACUUGUUUCUUGGAAUUAAUUGUGCAAAAAUUGAUGAAUGACCGGAGGAGAAAAUAGAUACUACUUGGGAAUUGUAACCUGUGGUGGUUUUUUGGUUGAAGGAUGAAGCCUGAUGGAUACGUUUUCCGAAUGUGUAAACUCCAAAUUAGAAAGUUAGAAAAUAUAGAGAACUCGUAUACAACAGCACAACUGAACAGGUAGGUUUACAAAUAAAAUUCUUAUUUUACCAGUCAAAGAAAAGAAAGUUAACAAAUACAAAUUGAGUUCCGUAAUCAUUAUUCUUUAGUUUUGAAACUUUUUUUUUCCCUGUUUUUCUUGGCUGAAGUGGACUUCUCAUUUUUUUUCCUGGCAUCACAAAUAGAUAUAGACCUCCACAAUCAAAUCCUUGGAAACUAUUAUUCCUUUUUUCCCAUGGCUGAAGUUAAAUAGUUUUUUUUUCUCUAGCAACACGAACCAAAGAAAAGGUAACUUUGAUAAUAUAUAUACUUAUAAAUUUUGGGUUCUUUCUCACUAAAUUAUUGAACUAUCCUACAUUGCAUCUUUAAUUUAGAAACGUAUUUUAUGUGUGGCUUAAUUAUUGUCAAACACCAUCGCACCACUUUAGUGUAAAAAUUUCCACAUGGACUAGCGAUCGACUUCAAAGUUGCUGAUUAAAAGUAGCGACAUUGAAGUCACUACUUAGAUAUGCAAAAUCUCUUCUUUUGAAUGACCCCAACGUGUUGGACUAGCUUUGGAAGGAUUAUGUAUAAAAUAAAAAAAAGAAUUGUUUUGAUAAUCACCCUAGCAUAAAGGAAGGAUGUAUUCCCAGGCCAAAGAAAUAAGUGUUGUAAAUAAAAGAAUAUUUUAAAAGAUCUUGUCCCACGUUGGAAAAUCAAAGUGACUUCUCAUCACUUUAUAAUGUUUAGUCUUUUAUUAGGUUUAUAUUAGAUUGGUAACUAGUGUGGAUUCAUGCGCAUGAGAGGGAAGUUAAGUUGGGCCGUUUCAAUACAAACCAACGGAUUUGCACCCCUGCGCAUGGGUUAAACACGGUUACUGCAAGCAAAAAGUAAAAUUUACUUUUCUUUUAAGUUUUAUAAAUCAGGAUAAAGUUUGACUCUUUCCACCAAGAAAAUAAGUUCUUAUCUCAUCAGUUACAAAAGUUAAGCAUAUUCACAAUAAGCACGUUUCUUUUGUGUUAUCGGAAUUUAUCUCUUAUCCUUCUAAUCCUUCUUGUUUAUAAUAAGAAAAACGCUUAUUUAAUGUUGGGGAAACAUUUCAACCUCUUGAAAUAGUUUCUUCGGAUAUUGCUAUUAAGCACAACUCAAAAUUUUUGGCUACUUUUCCUACAAUAAGUACUACAUAAACAACCUUAAUUUGUCAUUUUCAGUUUAGAUAUUAUUGAGAGGUUAAUAGCACCAAUUACCUUUACAAAUUGGAUAUAAGAAGGAAUCUUUACCAAUGUUUUGAAAAUCGGACAGGACCGCCCGGUUCGACCGAUUGAAUUGCGAACCGGCCAUGGCACCGGUCCCGGUUCUAUGCUUUGGUUGACUUUGUCAGAGAACCGGUCAAAAUCGUGAAAACCGGUGAACCGUGUUGAAUCGGAUUGAACUAGUUUUUGAGUUUCCCUUUUUUUUUAUAACUUAUUUAUAUAAAACAAACAUCUAUAUUUCAUUUUUCCAUUUUUCUUACAAAAUCUCAUCCUCUCAUGACUCUUUCUUUUUAAUCUUCAACUCUUUCUCUCUCUCUCAUCUUUUCUUUUGUCACUCCAUUUUUAAUCAAACCUCUUUAGUUUUAAUUUAUUGAUGUUUUCUUCUAUCUUUUAAUUUUGUUUUUGCCCAUUAAAUUGGAAAAAGUUAAAAAAGAAUUAUUUUUCUUUAACCCAAAUUAUUUAAUGCCACAACCACUCACUUUUCUCUCAUUUUUUUGUUUCUUAUCAAGUUUGCAUUUCUAUUUUCAAUUCUCUUAAUUUCUUUCAAACUCCAAACUUUCCUUUUUAAAUUACAAUCUUUAAAUCUCAAAGACAUAAAUUAAAAUUUAAGUUCACAAUGUCAAAUUCUCAUAGACGUGAAUUUUGUAUAAUUUCAAAAUAUUGUGAUAUUUUUGGGUUGGAUUUAAGAUUUUUUUGAUAGAUAUAAUUAAAAUUGAGAUGAAAUUUAUUUGUUUUAACUUAUAAUUUAAAAUUUUUAUUUUUGAAAAUCCAAUUAUUCAAAAAUAGUGAACUUUUCAUCAUAUAAAGUUUUAAAUUCGUCUAUUGCAUGUCUUAUUUUGUGCAUAUAUAUAUUUAUAUAAAUUAUUUUUAAAAAAAUUCAUUGAACCGAGGUUGAACCGGUCCGAUCGGUUGAACCUCGACCCUUUCACCUCACCGGUUCAUUUGACGGUCCGGAUUUUUAAACAUUGCUUUACAUUGUAUAGAUCUAUGUGUACAGAUUCUUCUGUUUCUACACAUGCUGGUCUUGGUGUGGCAUGGUAAUCCAUAGUGCGAGAGAUAUAAUUUGACACCAUGAUCACACCUUUUAUUAAGUGAUCAACUUUGUCAACAAAACUUUAAGACUCGAAAACCAUGCAAGGAAUGUGAUUGACAUUGACCCCCUUUUAUCUUGUGUGGCAAUUCUACUAUCUUCUGUACUAUGAUGCAUUGAGUCAAUUAGCAUGCAACUCCAAAUCGAUUUAGCAAAAAAAAAAAUUAAAAUUUUUUUUUGAUGAAUUUUCAAGCUAAUUUUUUUUUGUAACAUCAGUCAUUAAAGUUGAGGAGAUUAAAAAAGAAUUUUCUAAGGACGUGUCUUCGAGGAUACAAUUUCAAGUAAAUCUAAAUUAAGCGUUGAUUUCCAAAUUGGGUCAAAAGAGGUAGAUAUGGGUUUCAUUCUCUCUUUUUCUCUUUUUUAUGUUUAAAUAUCUUUAUUCUUCCUUUAAAAAUGUACUAUAAAACCAACGUCAUAGAAUUUUUCGCAUUCGGCCCAACACAGCACUGGAUAAUAUGUAUUAAUGGUGAAAAAUCAGCCAGGAUUAAUCCUUCUGCAAGCUUCAGAUAUGGGCGAGUUAAGGUUGUUCCAAUAUCGAAUGUAACAUCCCACACUUAGGCCACUGGUUUGACUACCCAAGAAGGGAUCAUGAAAGACGAUUUCUUGACAUAACAAACGUUGAAAGAGGAUUUCUUGACAUAACAAACAUUCAAUAAAUGAAAUUCAUAUUACUAGGAUAAUUAUAGUUACACAAUGGGUUUGGGGCAAUAUGCAGCCAAGUUUGACCAGUUUGUGGCGACUAAGUACCAUCAAGAAUUAGGUAUUUCAAAUAGCUAGAAUUCUGAUAAUUGUUCUCUAUAAUUAAAUUAGCCUAACCCUAUUUUUCUAGAAUUUUUUCUUUCUCAUCAUAUAACCGUACUAAUUAAGACUCAUAAAAUUAAACCUUGAGUUGAAAUUCGGAAUUUGUUUUUCAGAGGGAAAGUCAACUUUUUAUCCAUUAAGAAUUUGGCCGUGAAACUAUUUUUAUUGAAUUCAAAUAGGGGUACUUUCUUAUUUAUGUGUAAUAUAUUGAGUAUAACAUUUAUUUAGAUGAUAUUACAUGAAAAUAAGUCCUAAAUGCUGAUGAUCUAAAUUACUUGUGUCCUGAACACAGUUUACUUAAACCUGAAUACACUACAGUGAAAUGUGUCAAGGUAGUGUUGUGAUGCUACAGUGACAUGUAUCAUUUAAACUAACACGUGUUGCAAUUUCAUUUCCUCUCUUGUUGACUCAUCACCAUCUUAUCUUCCUAUAAAUAGCCCCUCUUCAUUUACACGUAGAAAAUUAAAAAUUCUUACCUAUACUUCUAAGAGGGCAACAAAAAAUGAGCUAAAGAGGAGAAAAAAAAAGAGCAAAGAUUUUCGUAAAAGAUAGGAAAAGAAUGCCAUAGUAAAGAGAUAGUGUUAGAAAAAGAUUAACCCUAUACAACACCACGAAUAUUCAAGUGAGUGUCCAGUCAUGUAGUGAUAAUAUCACAUUCAUAUAGUUAUUACAUGAUAGCCUUCUUAUUAUAUACUAUUAAACGUAUAGUUACAGAUCUGCAUUUACAGCAGUAGUUAUGUUAGGCUCAUGGUAAAAUUAGACAAAGUGAAAUUAAUAACUGCUGCUUUUGAGUAUUUAAAAAUUAUUAUGAUGCAUGUUUUUGCCUCAUAUAAAUGAUAAUUUCUUAUUUAAGAUGAACAUACUUUCCACAUUGCUAUAUUACAUAUGUGAUUAUUUGCUUAUUAGGCAUGGUAUUGCUUUAUGAAUUGGGCGUGUAUUUUAUCGCACUAAAAAUUUUAUUUACUAGUCCAGCUUGUUAUUGUUCUCAUAAAUCUGAAUGUAUAUUUUAUCACAUCGGAAAGUGAUUGAUUGACUUGGCGUGUGAGUACAAUAAAGCAUUUUCCAAUUGUAUACUUUAUUGCACUGAAAAUUGCUCACAACUUAUUUUAUUAAAGAAUUGUAUUGUGAUUACUUGUGCUUGAUUACUAGUACUGUGCCUUGUUUGAAAGUCAAGUUUUUUUGCCAAGUUUGUCUGCUACAAGUUGUUUAAAAACUUUAGCUAUAGUAAUCUCAAAAAAUUUUUCAAAAUUUGUAAACUAUACACUUCAAAAUAUUCAAAAAAAAAAAACACACUUCAAAAAUUUUUUAAAAAAUUUCUACAGUAUACUAUAGUAAAAUUUUAGAGAAACACAAAAAAAAACUCACCUUUCAAACGGGGUGCUUUAUCACACUGAUACUAGUGUUAUGCUAGUAAUAGUGUGUCUUAAUUCGUAGAGCAAGUAAAAGGUUAUGUCAAAUAUUAUUUCACAUACUGAUCUGCAACCAACAACUUAGGCAAGAAGUUGUCCAUUCAUGGGUCGAGAGUGAAAGGCAUUUCCAGAAUUGACCUAAGUAAUUAUUGAAAUAGGAUGAUGAACUCAUGAUGAUUGUGUAAAGUGGAAUUGGGUCGUCACCCACAAUCAAUGCUAUAUCCUUCCAUUAUGUUGUAAUUUAUCUAUUUUAUGUGUUUCCUAUAUGUUUGAAUUUAUAUUCUUGAAAAUUUAAUCGCAUUUGUACACAUAGACCUCACUUGAAAAUUUAAUUCGUUGAAUUUACACCAAAAUAUGAACAUUUUUUUUUCAGGAUCAAAGUAUUUAGGAUAGACAUGAAGAGAGAUUGUCCUAGUAUAGCAAUGGUAGUUAAGUGCAUUAAAAAUAUACAGAAUCCAGUGAAUUCAUGUAAAACAUAAUUUCUGUUGCAUAAUAAUGUAAUGCCUUCAAGAUAUAUAUUAUAAAUUGUAAAAGUGCCUUUGCAAUAAAUGAAAGUUAUUGUUAAUCUUGAAAUUAGUGAUUGGGUGAAUUCUAGUGCGAGUUAGACCAUCAACGGAGCUUUUGAGGAGGGAGUGGACAAUGUACGUGGCCAAUGUUGCCAUUUUGUGACGUUCAUAUCUCAUCUUGUUGGCUUGAUCUAGUCCACCUCGUUGUUCUUCUACAGGGUAUUUCAUUUAAGCCGACCUAUUCGAAUUAUGCAUGAUGUAAAUCUUCUGCUGAUGAUUUCAGUUUUAAAAAAAAUACACAUUCUUUUAUGUUUAAAUAUCACAGUACAUUAUUUUCUUAUUGUUUUAGCAUAACCUAAGUUAAGGUUACAAAUUAUUUGGAGUUUAUUGUCAAAAUAACUCUUCUUUCGAAACAUAUAUCCAAAGUAACCUAGUUUUAAAAUUUAUUACCUUUAUAAUUCUUUUUUUGUCACAUAGGUUGCAUAUGUGGCAGGAUAGAGAUAGAGUCACAUUCCAUCUCUCUUUCCCAACUAAUAUUUUCCCCGAUCCUCUCCUUGAACCUUUCCACCUUUUUUUUUCGGUUCGUUAUUUUUCAUUCUUUCAUUAUUUUUCCUUGUCAAAUGUAAUUGCCAGAAGCCAAUAUUUAUAUUAAUAACAUCUAAAACUUCAUUGUCAUUCCUAAUAUUAUAUCUGUGGAUGAAAAUAUUCUCCUCAAUUUGAUAAUCUCAAGGUAAACGAAGAUUAUUCUCUUAUCUUUUCCAUUGUGCAAUUUUUGGAACAUUCCUAUGACCUUCAAAAAUUUUGAAUACUAAUUGUUUUAACAAAUGAUUUCUCACACUGUGUGUUUGAUAAAAUGUUAAUAGGAAAACUACGUAACAACAUAUAUUCAUACUCAAUAUGUUUGAUUUCCACCACAUAUAUAAGCAUGUUCAUUUGUAGCGCCUCUCUAUCACAUGAUCAAAUAAUCUCGUAUACUUGAAGUAUUUUUGCACAUUUAUUCAACAUCAAUUAAUGGCUUGUGUUACUUUCAAGAAACUUUAGCAUUAUCUCAAUUACAAUAGUUUGAUUACUUUUUGUAAAAGUUCUUUUCAAGGAGUCAGAGAAGCAUAACAUAAAACAAAUAUGAUAGCGUUGAAGUUUUUGUAACUUUUUCUUGUUAUUGCUUACAAUUUUCAUUGCAACUUUUGUAUUUUGCAAAUUUAUAUUUGAAAAAUAUAUGCAAUAAGUUUGAUGCAUUUAAAAAAAUUACAGAGAGCAAUAAUAGCAAGGUCAAUAAUGGUAGAAUUUAUUUUAAAUAAUUAUAAGGAAAUUAUUAAAGUUAUGCAAUCUUCUUGUGCCUCUAUAAUAAAAAAGUUUAAAUUUUUAGUUUUUGUUGGAAAGUAUAGACUAGAUUAAAGCUUUCCUUUAUUAUUAUACUACAUGGCGAUCAGGCUAAUUAGGUGGCAACAAUAACAUCGAUUUGGGAAUAAAAUUUGAAAGUGAAUCAUAUUGGGAAUAUUUUUUAGAAAGAGUGUUAUUUUGGCAAAAAACUCAAUUGUUUGUACUUCAAAAUAAUACAUACAAAAGAAAUAACUAACUAGAAAAAAUCUAAAAUUACUGUAAUACAUUGGCCGGAUCGAUCAGAUUCUAAUGUUCAAUUCGAGACGACAUCUAAUGUAACUUGUGAUUAUAAAUGCCGUCAAACCUAAAAUCUAGACAGCAUUGACCGAGAGAUUUUGUGGUCAUUGUAUCUUGAAAUAAAUUAUAAACAAAAUGUGUGAUAGGAUUAGAAAAAUCAAAAUAUUUGCUUAUGGAACUUAAAAAAAAAAAGUUUACAAACAUAAUUUUGAGAGGAUGGACAUUAAUUCCACCAAAAAUAGAGCAUGAAGUAGAAGGAAAAUAAAAAGAACAGUGAUACAUGUUGGAGAUAGUGCAACCCUCAACUUGAUAAUUACUUGACACUGUGAGCCUCAGCAGCUUGAUACAGAGAUACCAAUACCCAUAACAAUUCUUUCUAAUGUAAAAAUGGAACUAACAACUACUAAAAAAAAAAGUACCAGAUGCAACUCUCAACUCUUGAAUGAACCUUAGAUGUUGCUUACAUGCUAAAAUUUGUUAAAAAAAAAAAAACAUUUGGACUUCAACACACAAAUGAUGAACUAUUUGGUGAAACUUUCUGUUAAUUGCUUUACCAAAUAAUUUGGAAAUCUUCUGCGUCAUUGCUCCCGCCAUUGAUCCCAAACAUUUUGACCCCUCAAGUUCAAGCCAAGCAUUGUCUUCUUUAGCUUUUUUCUCGAACCGUUGACACCGUUAUCUUUCCCAAUACAGAAAUGACAAGUUCAUUCUUCUUGACCGUAUUGUUUUUUUUGGCAAGUGAAAGAAGAGAGGAUGAUGGUUAGGCAUUUUCGUUGGCCUAAUAUUUCUCUACGAGUGAACAAGGAAAAAGGCUGAAACAGAUAUUUCCUUUCCCGUUAUCCAAUAUCCAUUUUGCAAUCCAAAGAGUCCGAUCCAGCCAUUGUUAAAGCUUCCAAAAACACUGCCAUGUAAAAUCGACAACAUGUAUAGUUGUAUAUUCCUCCUACAUGUCUCUCCUUUGGUGUGUCAAGAAAUGAGGAAUGGAGAAGUAGGCUUUGUGUUUAUUGUAGCAGCAGUAGUUAAAUUUUAGGGAUAAUUUCAGAAACCUCCCUUGAGGUUUUUGACAAUUUCACUCGGCUCCCCUCAGGUUUAAAAAUUACACUUACCUCCCUUGGCAUAGUAAAAUACCUAUAAUGCCCUCCACUUGAUAGACAAUUUUAAAUUUAAGGCAAUAAAUUUAAAAAACUACAAAAAAUCUAUUUUUCUGUCUCUUUUCUAUUUUCGCUUUUCUCUUUUCUAAUUAAUAUAACCUUUUUUUGAUAUCUUCAAUUUUGUAAAUAUUAGCAAAUUGAAAUUACAAAAUCAACAGAGAGAGCAAAUUAUGAAUCAAAUUAGAAGGAAAUAAAGAGACUCGUAGUGAUACAAAAAUAAAUGAUGAAAUUAGAAGAACUAAAGAUGUAGAAUUUGUCAUAUUUUUUUUGUUACCAAGAAAAUCUUUUAUAAAAUGUCAAUAAUUACAUAAGGAAUUUUUUAUUAUGAUUUUAUCAUGGAGGUAGAAUUUAUUCUCUAUUUUUUGAGAUAUUAAUAUUUUUAAAACCAUAGGAGAGUUAUAAUGGCAGUUCUAGGUCGGACUAGCUUGUAUUGAAAAGGUAUUUGAGCAUUGAUAUUUAAUUUGGGGUAUAAUUGGUUGUCAAUGGGGUUGUGUGUGUGUGUGUGUUUUUUUGCUUGGCAAGCAUUAAUACUGUAUAUGCAAUUUAAAAUUUUUUGGAUGGCUAUUUGGUUUUAAAACUUAUGAUUGAAUGAUUGUUAGAGAUUAGAUUUGUUGAUUUAUGCAAAGUGUGAAAGAAAAUGAUUGAGUAUAUUGUAUUUUUCUUUCUUAGUUUUGUACAAAAGGGCAAUUUAAGAUUUUUGUGAGAUCACAAAAAUCUAUCUUGUUUGGCCUACAUUAUUACUAAACAUUAAACUUAGGGGAGGCAUAUGUUAAUUUUUAAAACUUGAAGGAAGCUCUUUGUAAUUGUUAAAAACCUCAAGGGAGGUUCGUGAAAUUAUCCCUAAAUUUUAAACAAAGUUGAAUUUAUCCGCUACAUAAAAAAGGUUUACCCUGUUCAGUCUUUUGUUAAGUUUUCGUUGUGUUCGCUUCGGUCUGUUGUAGGCUUCUGUUUCUGUCAUAAAGUAUGCCCUGUUCAGCCUAUUGGAAUCACGCAGAGGUAAUUCUGCAGAAACUUUUGUCAUGGAACAGAACAGGGGCAAUACAAACUGGGUAGCUCCCUGUUUCACAUCUGCCCCCUCCAUUUGUCAUCAUGGAACAUGCUCACCAGUUGCCAGUCCUCAAUCCCUCCACAAUGUUUUAACAUUUGCUAGGCAAUUGUCAAUUGCUGUUGCCUCCUUCAUGCCUUCCACCUUCUACAUCAGAAAGGGAUAAAAGGAUUCGCACUCAAACUCGCAUUCGAAUUUCGAAUUUAACUUGAUUCUAAGAUGAUCAUUCUUAUCCCAAUUAAAGCGUACAGCUAUAGAGAAGUAUCACUGAUGAGUCAGAAACAGGAACCAGGUGCCAUAUUCCUAAACCCUUUUUUAACUUUCGGAAAAAGAUGCGAUCAUAUUCCAUUGUUCCAACCCCUUAUAAUAAUGCAUGUGUGUGUGUGUGUGUGUGUUUUUUCAAGUUCUUCAUCACCAUAGCCAUAAUCGCUUACUAGUGAUCUUCUCAAGUACAAUAAUCCACCAUUAUUAAUUACUUGAGAAAUAAUAAUAACGAAUUCCCCAUGAUGUUUCAAGAUCCCAAUUUUAACAGCCCAUCAGUGGUACUGGUACUGUACAGAAAAUAAACACACACACACAAGAAGGACUAAGAAAGCCUAAAAGAUAUAAGUAGAAAUAUUCCAAAAAGAGGGAACCCAGAAAAUGAAAGUGUGGACGAAUCUGGGUUUUAUGAAAUACCCCACUUCUUGAAAAGGAUUAAGUGUGUGCCCCCAGAACAAAGCCAUCAAGAAAUCGAUCAUUAGAUCUCAGCCCUUGUAGCCGAAAAAAGAGGCAAUUUUUCACCAAAAUUAAUACUAAUGUCAGAAAAAAACACACACACACAUAAAACCCACAAAGUAAUAAUCAAGACUGCAAGUUUAGAACUGUGUAGCUAAUUAAUCCAGCGAGGAAGAAAAAGCACAGAGCUAUUAGUGUUUCUUCGGAGGAGGAUUCCCAUACCAGCCGGCUGAGAAGUCUUGUGACAACUGUUGUCGAAAACCCUAAUUUAUACUGGCUGGGCUCUCCAAUUUAGGGUUUUUGUUUUUCAAAAAAAAAAUAUAUUUUUUUUGAGCUGUCUUUUUCGGUCAGAACUUUGACCAAAUAACUAAAUAAAAUAAAGAAAAAAAGGAAAAGGAAAUUACAAAGGGGGAUGAAGUAGAGCAACAUGGCAAAUGACUUAUUAUUUGUUUUCUUUUCUUUGACGAAUUAAAGUUUGUUUAUAUGUGAGCAAAAGUUGCAAAUGAAUUAGUAGUAUAUGGUAGUAUGACAUAUAUUUGUUGUGUCUUGGUUCACUGCAAUUUUGGUACGAAACUUUGGCUAAAGAACAAUUAUGAACUGCAAGACCUUUAUAGUGCAGAGUCCUAGGGGCACAAAAGCUAAAACAAAAAAUUUUUUUUGUUUUGAUGGAAUUGUUUCUGGAAAACUAGACAACAAAUUUAUUAUGAAAACUUAUUGUUGCUCAAAGAAGAAAAACAUGGCUAAAAGGACUUUUCAAUGCUAUAUCUAAACAUGUUUCUGAAGUUUUGCUGGUUUGGUUCCAGAAAAGGCCAAGAAAAUAAUUUACAAGGACCACAACCAAUUAAGUUAUGAUGAGUAUCUCAAUAUGCUCCUAACUUUGUUAUCUUUCUGAAGUUGUCAUAACCAAUUUAAUUUAUGAAAUGAAACAAAUUCUGGGUCAAUUUCAAUCACAGCAUCCAAUCCAGGGCUCAGUGUCUGGUUUUGCCAUAAAAGUUUUCCGAAAUGGAUUCUAUCAGUCAUGAAAGAACUUGUGCUUUUUCCAUAAGUGGUUUCAUCGACCAUUAUUCAUGGAUUAGGAUAUAUAAAAAAAAAAAAAAAAAAAUUGAUGUAAUAACCAACAUAAACUACUCUAUUCAAACAAGAAAAUAAAUGAAACAAUUUAGUCAUAAAAAAAUUGAAAAAAAAAAUAUUAAAUUUACAAAAAUCUCCUAAUAACUGUACCUUCUUUUCCUAUAAUCUUUUUGGGUAAUUUUCCUGUCUAUGACUGCCAGAGCUGCCAGUCACUCUGGAGUAAUAGAUCCUAAAUCUAGUUUAUGUGCAUAAAUUGGCUUUGCAUGUAAAAGACAAUUGCUUUCUUUCCCCUAAAUUCUGCAGUGGGCAAGCAACACAUCACAAAAACGCUUAUUUCCUAAAUCUAACAACAACACAAGAAAUAUCAUCUUUACUGUCUCUGUUCAAGGCUUCAGCAGUUAACUGUUCCGCAGCUUUCUGAGGGUCUUUUGUUCUUCUAGCAAUGUCGACUGCUUCUUGAUUGGUCAUUACCUGUGUUUAUGUAGAAGAAGAACAGGAGAUUGGAAAAUGAACCAUUUCUCAGAAAGUUAAAUUUUCGUAUUUGUUAGUUCUACAUAAUGACACACAGAGCAAAAUGAGCUUCAUGAAAGACCGUUCACCUUCCAGAUACCAUCACUUCCAAGGAUAAGAAUGUCGCAGUUGACAUCGACAUUCAUAUCGAGAAUGUCUGGAUCUGAACGCAAAUGUGACUUGAGACUUUUAUCUCCAAAAGCACGAGAAACGGCCAGCUGUCCAUUCACCCUAGGCACGUCUCCUGUGAAAAGAUGCAGAACACAUUUAUAAUACAGAUUAGCUUUGUCCAAAAAAUAGAAAAUUUGAACACAUUUAUAAUACAGAUUAGCUUUGUCCAAAAGAUAGAAAUUUUGAUCGUAUCCACACUAGGCCCAAAUAGGGAAAUAAAGUAAUAUAGCCAUCAAGAAUUGCUGAAUAAAGCAGGAUUGAACAUGGAAGAAUAGAUUUGCUACGACAAAAGUGCUCAAUGUGCUGCUACUUAAAGUAUAUGCAAAUGCUAUAAUUGCGUAUGAAAAUUUCCAAUAUCUGAAUGAAUUUAUGCCUGUGCACUAAGGACUAUAUUAAGUCUACAGAAGGAGGCAGAUGCUUGUAAUUAUACAGCUAGAUUAAGAUGAAAGAUGGGAUGAGAAGUGCACGAUAAGAAGAGGAAAAGAAGAAGUAGGUUAAACGCCUGAUUAUCAUUUGUACGGUAAGGAAGGAAAGGCGGGGAAGUAAAAAGUGCGAGUAUUAACCUUAUUUGCAUCCUUGGUAAGCUCAAACAAAUUUGAGCAAAUAACAAGAACAAAAGGAAUGGCACAGUUAAGAUAAACAUCUCUGCAACCCCAAAUAAGUGUUAAGAGAACUUAGAUCUCACAAAGAAAUGACAGCAUAAGUAUGUUUGAUAUAAUUUGCAUGCAUAUCUGCAGCAUCAGAAUAAUUAGGAAGUAUUUUAGAAUAGAUGGAAAAAGAAACUGAAGCAGAUCUAUGCAUUGAUUGCAAAAAUUAAAGAAACCAGAGAGAAAAUGCUUGUAAUGAAAGAUUCUGAAAAACUUAAAAAACAGUUAGCUUUUAGCAUCUGCCUUACAGAAAAACAAGACUAUUCAGAAGUCGAGAGGAAGAAGAAAAAAGAAAGGGUAAGCCAUACAUAUCAUGGUUAUGACUCCAAUACCAUACUGGAGGCAAGAAUGACACAGGCAAAGCAUUCUUUACACAUGGAGCAAACUGCAAUCUCAAACCAAUUGUAGUUUGAAUGACUGAAAAGGGAAAGUGCCAGCAAAAUCAUCAACAGUUCAGCAGGAACAAGGUCAGAUGUUCCCAACAAUCAAAGCCCCCAUUAAGGGUUGUGGUAGCAAAUUCUGAGAUGUAGCCUAUCAGGCUGAGACAAACAAUACAAAUAUCUUCAGCUAUUAGAACAGCUCUAUGCAUGCAGGCUGUAUAGUAAACAUAGAAAGAAAAGGAAAUUAUCGACAUGAACUAUGUAUCACAUAAAGCCAGCAAUUCUGAUAGAUGCCAGGAUAGAAGGAUUACUAUCUCCAAAAUCACUGGCGUAGUAUAACUCUUAUAUGCUAAGACCAUAUGAGGGGCAGUUUUAAAAAUAUUCCCAACCGUACUACUGUGUGUGUCACCUAGUUCCAAAAUAGAGCUGCACCCCAGGUAAAGUGGUGGAUGCCGCACACAUUUGAAGUAUAUCAUUACCUGAAAAGCAUCAGAUACAUUCACCACAACUUAUAUGGAUAUUCCCAUGGUUUUCCAUUUCUAACAACCUAUAUAAAAGUUCACUAUAACUUGAAAAGAGAGCCACGGAAGGACAAGAGACUUGAGCAGUUCCACAAGUCGGUGACUACAAGAUUGAUGAAGAAAUUCACAUAACAGCUCUUCUGAGUUAGAUUGCUUUAAGCUUAAUUACAUUAUGUUGUCUGUGAGUAAGAUGCUAAAAACUAUAACAAAUAAGUAAGCAAAUAACCUGGCAUGUUUGAGACGAAGCCUCCUUUGUUCUCAAUGCUGCCUCGUUCAGUACUAGGCUCAUGGUCUAUUGUCAUCUGAAUAGCCUGGCCUCCACGAGACAGAAUAGCUCGUGAAUCCCCAACAUUCGCCACCCAUAAUCUUUGACCAUUUAUGAGAAUUGCAGUCACAGCAGUGGACCCACCUCGCCCUAAGUUCGAACUGUUAGACAGAAUUUCCUGGUCAGUUUUCUCAUAGGCUUUUGAGAUUGAUCCGCCAGGAUCUGUCCAGAAUGAGCCCUAACAUAUUUAGAGACCAGAGUAUGAGAUACCAACCCAAAAGUACAACCAUAUAUGUGAACAGCUGCCGGAGUCAACAGCCAACUUACUUCCUUUAAGAUAUUGUCAAACAAAUGUUUUUGCAGGUAUGCAGGAACUGCAUCCCCAAGAUGGCCAUCAAAUAUGGCAAAAAGCCCGAGCUCAUGUCCAUCAAUCCGCACAAACUUAGCAACAUGGUAGUCUUCCAUUGGAUGACUGGCUUUGCCUUUCACUAGGCUGAAACCAUAUUUGAUUUUAUUCUCGCGACUUUUUCCUUUGCCGGAACUACCAGAAGACUCACCCCUGACGCACUGCAGAAGAGAAAAAGAUAAGUCAUACCUGCAGAUGAGUGUAGAAUGACUCAAAAAGGAAAUAAGAUUCGACAAUGAUGAUACAGAACAAGUAAAGUAGAUGAUAAAAGAUCAAACACAAUAAUUAUAACAAAAAAAUAACAAGACAAGUAUUUAAUACGGCCUGCUAACUUUACCAUUCAAAGCAAAUGAAAACCUAAGAAUACCUUCGACUUUGGUUUUAAUUGAAUAUCAUGAUGCAUGAAUGGACCAUAAGGAUGACACAGCAACAAAACCGAGGUGGCUAUAACUAUGAAUACUCGGACUCAAAUUGGAAACUUUGCCUAGCCCUAGUAUAGGUAUCAAAAAUCAACUUCCAUGCAUACAUGAACAAAAAACGACAAAAGCAAUGGUAAUGGCAUUGUGAACACGAGAAUGACAAAAUUUUUUUAGGGGGUUAGGUUAAACUAAAUGGUUGUAUCGAGUCAAAAGUAAGAGGAAACUGAGCAACAAAGCUUUUGGCAAACCUAAUUGAAGCCAUUGAUUACUUUAGCAAAUGGAAACCUGAAUUGUCCUAGUCAUGCCCGCUUUUUCCAUAAUUCAUCAGAGAAAAAUUAUUCAACCUGUUGUCACUAUAAAAUUUACAGUAUUCUGUGAACCACAACGGCUAGUGAUAUACCUACAAUUACAUGCCGGGGAAAGAGCAAUUAGAUCUCUCAGAAGGUGGAUGAAUGCAGGAUGUAUCAGAGUAAAUCUGCAAAUGUACACACACACACACACACACAUAUAUGAUUUUUUUUUUGGAUUUUAUUAUAGAGCCAACCAAUGUAGAAAUAUAUUGUUGUACUAAGCCAUCAGCACCAAAAAUACCAAAAAAAAUGAUACUAACAUUCUCCACAAAAAUAGUAGCCGAAUCCUGCAGUGUUCAUCCAUAACAUGAGAUUAAAUGAAAAUUCUCCUUCGAAGGUUCCAAAAAAACCAAUACCAAGGCCCUCAAUGUCCAUCGAAGACUGUGUCAUUAAAUCAUUUCAGGUCGGUGAGUGCUCCCCAGAUGCAUGAUCCACAAAAUUACAUGACCAUCACAAAACUUGAAUAGAAGUUUUGAAUGGGAAAAAUUACCUGACCACAACCAGCAUUGAAGCAAAAAAACUUAUCCAUCAAAUGAUCUGCCAACUGGAUAAAAAUUGAAUCUUUUCAGUUUUUCUCAACAUGCAACAGCACAAAAUCCUGUGAUCAUCAAAGAAAAGCACAAAAAGCUCCUUAACAACAGUGCACGCCAUUAGAAAACAAGGAAUCAGUCACUGAACAAGAACCCUCGUAGCAAAAAGCCAGAAAACCCAAUAAAAUUAAAAAUUUAAGAAGAAAAUGAAUUUGAGCAAAUUCACCAACUGAACGGACAAAUUGGCCAAUUGGGUUUUCAAUAAUUCAUCCAACAUACCAAGAUUAAUCAGUGAAGGGGCUUAACUUGUACUAGCACAUAUCAGCUUUUGUAGCUGUUGCUUUUUCUUCUUAUUAUGAACUUGCAAAAUGGAAUUAAAUAUGUGAAUGGGAUUCAGAAAGAAAGGAAAAGGAGACACUUAAACUCUUCUAAUCACUCAACAAGAGUUUCCCAUAUAACAACAGUGAUUGGAAUCAAAUUCAUCUGUGCCUAGAUAUAUAGCAGUAGUAGGAAAGAAACAGCCAAGGGGAUGCUCUUUAUGUACUAUUUGCUUGCUAUUUUCUCAACCGCCCUCCCCCCUUUCCACGCAUUAAAAAAGGGGCAAAUGUGGAACAACAUAUAACCUUGUUGACUUUGCUGUCUCGGGCUCAGCUGUCUGUUGCCAUUACACAGCUCUGUGUUGUGUGUUUGUUUAGGCUGAGUCUCAAAAAACUGCUUUUGAAGGACACUUUUUAAGAAUGAUUUUUAACGUUUUAUGAGAAGCGGCAGAGGUAACCCCGGGACCUGACACAUGUGUUGCGCUAUCUUUGUUUGUGUGUGUGUAUAUAUAUAUUUUGUUUCAGAAUUAUCCAAUUUCUUGGGUGCAAUUGCAGAUUUGCCCGCAUCAGUUUACCAAGGCCCUCGAUAAUCUCGAGAACAAGUGUCUCGUACAUGUGUAUAAACUCACUGAACGCAUGUAUAUACUCCAACAGUAGAUGUACAGAUUGACCCUUUUGUGUACUCCAAUAUUAUGAUUAUGUACAUCAUCUUAACCAAUUAAAUGAAUUUGGAUGCAAUCUCGCAGCAAAUUACCUAGCUGUGGCCCAUUUUUGUAAUUGUCGAUGGAGGGCCUUGCAUAGUUUUAGCAAUGGCCAUUUAUAUAGUUGUGCAACACACAAUAUGCAUGUAUACUUCUUGCAUAAUGAAAGUACAACUCAACAUUGAACGUGAUUUAUUGAGAAAUCUUGACCAUUUACCUUGACUUCAAUUAUUUAUAAAUUGCAAUUUGUUACGUGUUGUAAUUGUAAUCGUAUUAGACUAGCAUAACUUUUCCAAAAAAAAGACCAAAUAAAAGAAGGAUUAAUCUUUCUUACACUAAUAGUGUAUACACUGUCAGCAGCAUUUGAUGAAUAACAACGAUGCAAAAUUUGAAUUUCACACAUGUAACAAAUCAAACGGUGAUAAUGCAUACACUGUUAGUGUAUAUAAGAUUUACUUAUAAAAGAAUCAAAAAGAAAAAACCUUCUUGGUUAAGUCUAGUACAAGACGUAUAAACAGGGUGUUAAAAGCAAUGAAAUUCAAUUAGAUGUCAAGUUAAAAGCAUAGCACGCUAAUUGGGUUUUUGCGCAUUUGCAUGCUUUAGUUAGACAAAUCAAUCAUUUACAUGCUUCAUUGCUAUGAGUAGCACUGAAAGUUAGAAAGAAAACUGUCACGUAAACGCAGUGGGCAUGGACUAGUUCUGUCUAUCUAGGACUGACUGAUCAUUGCUGGGGAUUAGGUUUAAUUAAACAAUUUUUUACUUUUGUAAGAAAAGGAAAAAGGAAAAAACAUUGCAGGGGGUUACUGAGGUUUGUGGGGGGUCUUUAUCCCUUAGUAGCAGCAGUCUUACAGGCUUCCCUAUUCUGUCUACCCACAUCGUUUUUGGGGGAUAAGGGUUGGGUAGGUAAGUCUCUAUGUUUGCAUUAAAAGUUAUCCGUUUUUGAGAUUAAAUUUGGAAUUAGAUUUAAUUAAACAAUUUCUUACUUCUGUAAGAAAAGGAAAAAGGACUGACUGAUCAUUAAUCUCUUGUUUUAAUGUCUACAGCAAUUUUUCAACAGGUGAGGGAAGAAAAGUAUAAAUAAAAAAAAGAGUACUAAAAUGAGAACAAAAAUUGCCGAGUUUGUUACAGUAAGAAGGCAAGAAAGUAGGAUAAGGAUGAGAAUGCGGUUCCAAGAGUGAAUGAAUAAAUUGCAAACGUACAAGGAUCUUAGAUAGAUCUGUGGAGGAGAGGAAGAAAGCAGUGGAUAAUCACUCAAGGGUUGAAUCUUGAAUUGCCAGCUUGAACAAAUGCUGCAAUAACGUGUCUAAAUUGUACAAGAAAAACCACAAAUACGAUAUAGAUAUGGAUAUACAAAAUACGGAAGAAACCCUGCAACUGUUCAAUAAUUUAUUGCAGAGUUGAUAAUCGGUGACUUGGUUGACCAGGUCAAGAAGAUUGACCUUGAAAAUGUUCCUUGACUUGAGUGGUCCUUGUCCACCAAAUAUUUAUCUAUCGCCUUCACUUCACUGUCCACCAUCAGUAAUCCGGACGUGCACAGCACCACAACAUAUUUACUAGUAUUAUUAAUUUAGGUGGAUUUUCUUUUUAAUUUUUUCAAACCAAAAAACAGUCUCUUACUAUUUAGUUGGUGAAGGAAAUGGUGGCUAAAAUUAAUAUCUUUUGGAGUCGAAACUUUAUUGUCUAAAUAAAAUUAGAAUGAAAUACCUUUUAUUUUGUUAUAGUUUGAUAUUUUACUACAUAACCUCCCUAUGAUUUGAAAACUUUAUAUAUAACCUUCUUAUGAUUUGAAUUAAAGUGCGGCUGUUAUAUUUUUGGUUAAAACUAGUGGUCUACGUUAAAAAGUUAAUAUCAAACUAAUAAAUUGACAACUUUAACCAUUUGCUACCUUUUUUUUUCUUUCUCAUUUUCCUUUGAGAAGAGAGGAGAUGUUUUAUGGAAAAGUGUACUUUAGCUUAAAUGUUAAAUUUGUAAUGGAGAACCUAGGCAAUCAAAUUAAACUGACCAAAACUGUGCAGCCCUGUAAGAGUUUUGGAAAUAAUAAACAAAAGAAAAGAAAAUUCUAAAUUUACACUAAGAAAUUGGCGGUGUUUGAGAGUCAAGAAAGCAAUAAACUGAUUUGAUAUUCAUUUCAGAAUUCUAUUCUGUCCUUCAGCAUGUUAACGCAAAGUUUGGAACUACAAAUUUAUAUCAAGACCUUAAACAAUAGUCUCAAUUUCUCUCGAUAAUCCCCAAUUUCAGUCCAAGUCUCUUCUAUUAUUUCCCACGGUUGAAAUAGAGAUUUUCUCCCUUAGAUUGUCCUUUGAGCCGUUCUUUAGUGACUCUCUGAGUGUUAAUCUAACUGUGUGCGUGAGUUCUUGCCGUCUUGAGAGAAAAAAAAAUAGAGAUUUUCUCUUCUUUUUUUUUUUUUUUCCUUUUUCUCCUUAAUUUGUUUAAAUUCAAACUAAGCCUUCUAAGUUACUAAUUGCAUACAACAUUAUUGGACCCUAACAAUAAGUACGAAGAAAAGUUACAACAACUGAGGCAACGUGGAUGAUAGGCUUCAUGGCUAUUGGCCUGGAAUGUUGUACACUUUUCAAUUAGGUCCUACACUUGCCAUUUUCUCAUUUACAACGUACUUAAAGAAACCCCUAGGACUUUUAACAUCUAAAACUCAGAUUAAAACCAGGCAUGAUCUCAGUGGCCAUUAAUCAUAUUUCCUAAUGGAAGCAAAAUGUUACUAUCUCAUUAUUGAUAUAAGAAGGUCCACAUGGAAGUGCUGUUACUAUAACUCCAUGUCGUGGGACACAAUGUUGAAAAGAUUUGAUUUCCAAGAAGGCAAAAAUAGAGGAACAUGAUUAUAGUCGUUUAUGCCAACUACUAACGUGCUAUCCUUUAGCUUUCCACAUUUGAAAAUUGCGAUACAAAUUUAACCAUUCAAAGGGAAUUUUUGCUCAUAUUAGCAAACCGAGCACCAAACUAUUUUCUUGAUGGAAGUUUCUACAAAUUUUCAAACCUAAAGAAUACUGAUAUUUUUCAAUCCACCUUUUUAUAUUCUCAACUAUUUUUUAUUUCACAUAUAUUACAUCACAAAAAGUGUUAUAGUAAUUAUUUCAAAUAAUACUAUAUAGUAGAGAAAGGAGUAGUCUUAAUCUUAAAAUUUUGACAUUUAUAUACUAGAGAUUGUUAUGCCCUUUUCAACGGAAAAGAUAAAUGGGAAUAUAUCUCAAAAUUUGGGCUCCGUUUGGCAAGUGGAUUUUUUGGGUGUUUGUCUAAAACUUUACUGUAGCUUACUGAAGAAGUUUUUAAAAAAUUUUUGAAGUGUGCAAAUUUUUGAAUAUUUUAAAGUGUAUAGUUUAAAAUUUUUGAGAAGUUUUUUGAGGUUGCUGUAGUUAAAGUUUUUAAAAAACUUGUAACAGACAAAUUUGGCAAAAAACUCAAGUGCCAAACAGGGCCCAAGAGUAACUGAGCAACUUAAAAAUAAACUAGAUCAAACAAUUGGUGACUUUUGCACCCUAAUACGUUCUUGAUCGAGUUUACGAAAAAACAAUAAGAGAGUUUGGAUAGUAAACUUAUUCCAAAUAAUAUUUCGCUUGCAUCAUAACACAUUUUUCAACCCACCUUCUUAUAUUCUCAAUCACCUUUUUAUCUCACAUACAUCACAUCACAAAAAGUAUUACAGUAAUUAUUCCAAAUAAUAUUUCAAAUAAUGUUCUUAAUCUUCAUAAAUAGGCUUGAAAAAUUGAUCAAUGAAGUUAACACAUGAACAGCUCAUGGACCCUAUCAUUUCUUUGGACAAAAUGUUGGGGUUUAACUCGAUCUAUAUAGUUGUUGCCAUUGCGACAUCUCACUCCUCAAUUCGGUGAGAAUCGUGGAUGACGUAGUACCUAAAAGAGGAGAACAAAAUAUUGAACGUAUUUUAACCUACAGUCGUACUUUGUCUUAAAACGGGUUACGCUAGCUAGCUCCAACUUACAUCAUUAUUGCUUGAAACAAAAAACCCAAGGCAAAAGAGCUCCAACCCUUUGAAAAAGAACCGAUCAACCGAUUGCCCCAAGUCAACUUACGUAAGAUCGUUAAAAAGAAUCAAUAAAAGCAUCGGUUUGCAAAGCUAUCCCCUUUGUUUUCUUCCCCAAAACAUGCAAUUCUUGAGAACGAACAAGACAAAUGAUGCAAGCCGUUGCACAUGAAAGGUUUGCAGAUUUUUUUUGCAAUCCAGAAAACGUUAAACGAAGAGGAGGUGGCUAAGCGGAGAACGCAACUUGGAGGAAUAAAGCGUCCUUCAAACCAGAAACUUCACCGAAUGCUUUUAACGGGUGAAGGCGUGUUUUAUUUUAGGCGAAAAUCAGCCGUCGAUCACCUUACUGUGCAGUAACUCGAUUCAAUUAAUCUACGUACAACCCAAAAUUUUUUGCGCACCUAUUUUUGUAACGGCCAACGCCUUGGGUUCACUUCUUCGGAUCCUUGAUGCUAUUUCUACAAGGCUUGGAAGGUCGUACAUGACACUUACUUAGUUCCUUGGUCCUUGACGGUCCUUGAUAUCAUUUGUAAUGGUACCCGAUCCAUAGCUCAAGGACCGCCUAACAUCUCAGGUUCACUUCUUUGGGUCCUUGAUGCUAUUUCUUUGACAUCUCAUAAGCACCUGCGUGACACUUAGUCCUUGAUACCA